AGCGAACGCUGGCGGCAGGCUUAACACAUGCAAGUCGAGCGCCCCGCAAGGGGAGCGGCAGACGGGUGAGUAACACGUGGGAACGUGCCUUUUGGUUCGGAACAACCCAGGGAAACUUGGGCUAAUACCGGAUAAGCCCUUACGGGGAAAGAUUUAUCGCCAAAAGAUCGGCCCGCGUCUGAUUAGCUAGUUGGUGGGGUAAUGGCCCACCAAGGCUACGAUCAGUAGCUGGUCUGAGAGGAUGAUCAGCCACAUUGGGACUGAGACACGGCCCAAACUCCUACGGGGGGCAGCAGUGGGGAAUAUUGGACAAUGGGGGCAACCCUGACCCAGCCAUGCCGCGUGAGUGAUGAAGGCCUUAGGGUUGUAAAGCUCUUUUAGCAGGGAAGAUAAUGACGGUACCUGCAGAAAAAGCCCCGGCUAACUUCGUGCCAGCCGCCGCGGUAA
rnacentral:rRNA from 1 species